rnacentral:rRNA from 1 species
UACGUAGGGGGCAAGCGUUGUCCGGAUUUACUGGGCGUAAAGAGCGUGUAGGCGGCCAGGCAGGUCUGUUGUGAAAACUGGAGGCUUAACCUCCAGAGGUCGACAGAAACCGCUUGGCUAGAGUCCGGAAGAGGAGAGUGGAAUUCCUGGUGUAGCGGUGAAAUGCGCAGAUAUCAGGAAGAACACCAAUGGCGAAGGCAGCUCUCUGGGACGGUACUGACGCUGAGGAGCGAAAGCCAGGGGAGCAAACGGG